rnacentral:sRNA from 1 species
AAUCAUACAGUAUUGUUUGAGUAUCCUGAAAACGGGCUUUUCAGAAUAGUACUGUAUAAAGUUAAUUUAGGAGUGCAUAGUGGCCCGUAUAGCAGGCAUUAACAUUCCUGAU